rnacentral:rRNA from 1 species
CCUACGGGUGGCAGCAGUAGGGAAUUUUCGUCAAUGGGCGCAAGCCUGAACGAGCAAUGCCGCGUGAACGAGGAAGGUCUUCGGAUCGUAAAGUUCUGUUGAAGGGGAAAAAGAGCGGAGAGAGGAAAUGGUCUCCGAUUGAUAUUACCCUUCGAGGAAGUCACGGCUAACUACGUGCCAGCAGCCGCGGUAAGGCGUAGGUGGCGAGCGUUAUCCGGAAUGAUUGGGCGUAAAGGGUGCGUAGGCGGCCUGCUAAGUCUGGAGUGAAAGGUACCGGCUCAACCGGGACAGGCUCUGGAAACUGGCGGGCUAGAGAGCAGGAGAGGGCGGUGGAACGCCAUGUGUAGCGGUAAAAUGCGUAGAUAUAUGGAAGAACACCAGUGGCGAAGGCGGCCGCCUGGCCUGUUACUGACGCUGAGGCACGAAAGCGUGGGGAGCAAAUAGGAUUAGAUACCCUAGUAGUC